UUGGCUGUUACAGAUUUACUGACCAGAUAAAGGAAGUUCCCGCUGAUGCAGACCCAGAUGUUGGGUACCCAGCCACCUAUGCACGUUGACACAGCCAGCAGCGGGCACCUAUUGGGAUGGACCCAGCAGGAUGACCCAAUAGGAUGAAAGUUCAGCCCACUCACUGUUGACACCAGUGACACACAGAUUGACCAGAUCUCACGGAAGUACCCCCUGAAUCAGACCCAGU